UACAGAGGUCCCAAGCGUUACUGAGAAUCACUGGGUUUAAAGGGUGCGUAGGUGGUCCGUUAAGUCAGUUGUGAAAUCCCCGGGCUCAACCCGGGAACUGCUUCUGAUACUGGCGGACUUGAGGCCAGUAGGGGUCACUAGAACUGACGGUGGAGCGGUGAAAUGCGUAGAUAUCGUCAGGAAUGCCGGUGGUGAAGACGGGUGACUGGGCUGGUUCUGACACUGAGGCACGAAAGCGUGGGGAGCGAACCGG
rnacentral:rRNA from 1 species